rnacentral:misc_RNA from 1 species
AACGCACAUUGCGCCCUUUGGUAUUCCGAAGGGCAUGCCUAUUCGAGCGUCAUUAUCAACCCUCAAGCUCGGCUUGUUAUUGGGUCUUAUCGUUACAGAUAGGCCUGAAAGAUAAUGGCGGCGUCGUGAAAUGACCCCAGGUGCAGCGAGCUAAAAGCAUACACUGAAAGGUUUUUUGCGGCCCGGUCCUUCCGUUUUGGUUCUGUUAAAGGAAUCAAGACACUUUUUUCAAAGGUUGACCUCGGAUUAGGUAGGAAUACCCGCUGAACUUAA